GCCUUGAAAGCUAAGCAGACACAGCACUUGGUCUUGUAAAUCAAGAGAGAGGGCUAAAAUCCCUCUCAAGGCU
rnacentral:tRNA from 2 species